GGUGACCUCCUGGGAAGUCCUCGUGUUUCACCCCUU
rnacentral:rRNA from 1 species